UCCGAGUUGACCCCGGCAGUCUCCCAUGAGUCCCCGGCAUUACCCGCUGGCAACAUGGAACGAGGGUUGCGCUCGUUGCGGGACUUAACCCAACAUCUCACGACACGAGCUGACGACAACCAUGCACCACCUGUAUAGGGCCCUUGCGGACCUGACAUCUCUGCCAGUUUUCCCUAUAUGUCAAGCCUUGGUAAGGUUCUUCGCGUUGCGUCGAAUUAAGCCACAUGCUCCGCCGCUUGUGCGGGCCCCCGUCAAUUCCUUUGAGUUUUAGCCUUGCGGCCGUACUCCCCAGGCGGGGCGCUUAAUGCGUUAGCUGCGGCACGGAGGACGUGGAAAGUCCCCCACACCUAGCGCCCAACGUUUACGGCGUGGACUAC
rnacentral:misc_RNA from 1 species